rnacentral:rRNA from 1 species
CCUACGGGCGGCAGCAGUGGGGAAUAUUGGACAAUGGGGGCAACCCUGAUCCAGCCAUGCCGCGUGUGUGAAGAAGGCCCUCGGGUUGUAAAGCACUUUCAGUGAGGAAGAACGCCUGGUGGUUAAUACCCAUCAGGAAAGACAUCACUCACAGAAGAAGCACCGGCUAACUCCGGUGCCAGCAGCCGCGGUAAUACGGAGGGUGCGAGCGUUAAUCGGAAUUACUGGGCGUAAAGCGCGCGUAGGUGGCUUGAUAAGCCGGUUGGGAAAGCCCCGGGCUCAACCUGGGAACGGCAUCCGGAACUGUCAAGCUAGAGUGCAGGAGAGGAAGGUAGAAUUCCCGGCGUAGCGGUGAAAUGCGUAGAGAUCGGGAGGAAUACCAGUGGCGAAGGCGGCCUUCUGGACUGACACUGACACUGAGGUGCGAAAGCGUGGGUAGCAAACAGGAUUAGAUACCCCUGUAGUC